rnacentral:misc_RNA from 1 species
CUCAAAAUCAUUACAACACUUCAUUAGAUGAUAUUUCAAAAAUCAAAAUAGAAGCAAUUCUAUACAAUUUUAUUUUUCUAUCUAUUAGAUAACCAUAGAGAUAAAUUAGUGAAAAUGAAUUGAACUAAAACCAACAAAUCUAUAUAAAUUCUUCUGAUGUUCUUAUUAAUAAAGAACUAGAACAGCAAUACAUAAACUGAAAAUACCCAAAUGAAAAUCUCAAAUAAAAAUGAAACAGAUGAUAAAGCCACAAACAGCCAACUACCCACUCGUAACUGAUGCUUGUAAGGCUGAAGUACAAGAUAAAGCAGCCUCAGUAGCACUGUCACCAUCACCAUCUCCAUUAUCAGCAGCAGAAGCAGAGGAAACAGUGGCUUUAUCUUCUUCAGAGGGUGUACUGUUGCCGCCUUCUUUGGCUUUGAAGAAACAAUUAUAGUGGUCUUUUACACCAGAAAACGCACGAAUAUACUGGUGAACUAAAACUCAGGUGGAGUUUACAAUUGGUAAUGGACUAAAUAAAAAAAAUGGAUGAGUAAAAGCUGAGGAAGCAGGAAGCCCACAGGAAGAAACCAAUAACAGUGCCCAUAUGUGAUAUUUAUGCAGAUCUAGUCUUCAGAUAUUUGUAAGUGAGCUAUAGAUAAG